rnacentral:miRNA from 1 species
UUAUCUCUUACUCCAUACAUAGAGUUUUUGCCCCAACACAAAUAUAUAUAUAUAUAUAUAUAUAUAUAUAUAUAUUUGUGUUGGGGCAAAAACUCUAUGUAUGGAGUAAGAGAUAA